CGCAGAUUAGAAACGAUAGCGGAGAAGAAAUCGCAUUUCUGGGGAAAACACAACUCGCUGCCACCGGUCUGUUCCUUACCCUCAUCCAGAAACGUCGAGUAGGACGCGGCGGCAGCGUAGGCAAACAAAGUGCCAUCACAUUUCUAUGGCACCGAAAAAGCAUGGAAUACAACCAUACAAACGUGUUUUGCAUUAGACGUAAAUAAAUUAAAACAGCGGCCAGUAACAAACCUGCUCUUUCUGACUCCAUCGUUUGUGCUGUGCAGUGGGAUUAGAAGAUCAUGCCUUAAUGCCCACAUUGAUCCAGCCAAAGAGGAUUGUCGGAAGAAAAAGCCUUGUUGAAAAGCUUUGAGAGGAACCAGAAUCAGCCAAUCCUUCUCUGUGCUGUUCCUGAAGUUCUGUUCCUGACUGAAUUGCAGUGAGAAAGCUUUCUGCAGUGAAAAGUUCUUAAAAGAACCCUUUUCCACUUUAAAGAACCCUUUUGUGCAAUGGAAAUGUUCUGAAGAUUGUUCGUGAAGCCGUCAAUGCCAAUGAAGAACCUUUAUUAAGAUAUUUUGUCCAUAUGACAUUAUGCAAGAAAAAAAAAAUAUAAUUUGGGAUCAAUGCAUGAGCUAAUAUGGGACAAAACGUCUCUAGCCUGCUCUGAUUUGUGUGUCGUUGUUGCUCUGUAAUAAAUGUAUUGGCCACACUUAACGUGUCACGACAGAGAUAUAAUUCAACCACCCAGGGUGAUAGAACAC
ensembl:lncRNA